GUUUUUCUUUUCAAUAACAAUAUCUUAAAAAAAAUCCCUAGUUUAAAUACAUACUUGGAGGGGAAAAGGCUUUUUCAAAGGGCACUACCAUUACUGGAUUGGGCCUGGGGUUGGGCCUGGGCCUUCUCAAACUCGUUAACCAAAUCAGGAUCCACAUUAGCCUGAGGCUCCCACGUGGCAUCUUGUAUAUCCGUCCAUUUAACAAGAUACUCCAUCUUCCCAUCAUCUCCAACUCUUUUUCCGACCACCGCCUCCGCCACCGCAUACUCCAACCCUGCUUCGAAAUCCGCCACCAAAUCCUCCGCAAUCAACCCCACUUUCACCCAUUCAUUAUCCUCUCCGUCUUUCCAUUUUACCAAAUACUCCAAAUUCUCCCCCUUCCCUCUCUUCUCCAGCAAUUGUUCCACCUCCGCAUACUCAUAAACCACCCUCUCCACCGCACCGAUCACUCUCUCCAACCCCAAUCUCCUCAUAAACUGAACCCUCGGCGUCGCUUUCAAUAUCUCCCUUGCCAACACCAAUGGCGUCCGACCCUUAUCGUCCUCAAUUUCCGGAUCCGCUCCCAAUUCCACCAACAACUCCACCGUCUCUGGUUUCACAUACCCAGCUGCCAUAUGCAACGCUGUAAACCCACCGCUGUUGUCACGGUGAUCGAGAUUCGCACCGGCUUCCGCUAACAUUCUCACACACGGAUUAGACCCAAGUCCAGCAACAAACAGAAGAGCCGUCCUCCCAUCUUCAUCCACAGCGUCGAAAUCUCGUCCGUCCGCAGAAUCUAUAAUCGAUUUCAAAGCAGAUUCGUCGGC
rnacentral:misc_RNA from 1 species